AUAGCAAACAAGCGUUCGCGUUAUACAAAUAUCGUUCCUAAUUCAUAAAUCGCGUUAGAGCAAAUUCGCUUUAUCAAAACACGCGUUAUAGCAGAACUCACUGUACUAGUAUUCUCUAUAAACUGUACUCGGUAAACUAGUUCACAGGUGUUCCUUAAUAUACUAAAAUAUUGUUCCUGGAAAUACUUAAACUAAGUCUUAAAGUAAUUUAUAUAUUGGGGUUAUGUUCCUGUGAGGGAAAAUCUUUACAUUGAUAAAAACAACAAAACGUGAUUCAUUGUUUGUUUGCUUCUAUAGUGUAGACAUUUGUUGAAAAUUGCAUAUCAUGUACUGUAUAUUGGGGGAUACCUGUUCUGUAUAUAGGCAGUGUACUGUACUGUAGGUAUACUAUUUAAUAUAUUAGUACAGAGUUGUAAUAAUUAUUCAUUCCAGGAUGAUGACUUCAAGAUGGAGGAAAUGAUGACCACAAGAGUUCAUCUGGUGACCUGACUCAUGAUGCACCAGACACAAGUCAGGUUAGUAGGUUCUGGACCUUGUCAAGGAGAGGUGUGCACUCUGCUGUACCAUACAUCUUCCCUCACUUGUACUGCUGUACCAGGCUUCUCUCCUCCAAUAUCAGGAUGGCAAGUGAUUCACAACACAACUAAAGGAAGGAAGGAAGGAAGGAAGCAAGCAAGCAAGCAAGCAAGCAGGUGAUACAGCCCAGACCCAGCCAUCCACCCCUCCUUUCUACCUCAGAAAUGUUGUUCUGAACACUGGAGUGCCGUGCUGACCUAGACUGUGCUUACUGGCUACUGCCUUGGACUUCCCUGUACUUGCUUGCUGGCUGCUACCCUGGACGGCUCUGCUCUGUGCUUGCUGCCCUGGACGGCUCUGCUCUGUGCUUGCUGCCCUGGACGGGUUCUGUUUCUGUGCUUGCUGCCCUGAACGGC